UGACCCGGAAAACCAGCCAAAUUAUUAUUUCAUUGCUAAAUGUUAAGAAAAAAAAGUUUACAUACAUAUGUUUUUUGUAACUAUUUCUCACUAUCACCAAUUCCAUAAAUCAAAAGGAAAAAUAAUGACGUAAAAAUUGGAUAAAAAAAAAAACAAAACCCAGAAAACAGCAUGAAUAAGAAUAAGAAAUGCCUGGCUUUCCCAUGUACGCCGCUGAAAUCCUUUUGGACUCCGGUGAAAAGUUCAUGGCCUUGAAACGAUGACGUUGGAAGUGCCUCGGUCGCCAUAAGAAAAACUUCAGAAACUUUCCGGAAAAUACUUGAACAUUACGUUAUUAUAAUCAAUCUCUUGCAAGCAAGCUACAACAUCAUAAAAUUUCUUCCUCUUCUUCAUAACUUCUUGAGCUUUUGGUACCCUCCUUCCUUCACAAACCAAAAUUUGAAAGAAGGAAAAAAGAUUAUUAAUUAUCAAAUGGUGAAGAAAAAAAUGAAGAGUUUGUCUAGGAGAUAACACAAAGGAGAAGAAUAUAAAAAAGGUAGGAGGCUAGCUAGCGAGGAAAAGGGAAGAAAGGGUGUUCCCAAGAAGAUGACGAGCGUUUCCCGUUGAUGCUGUUUCCAAAGGUGAAAUCAAAGGAAUUUUUUUAUGGGAUUCAAAGGGUGGACCAAAACUAAGAACAACGAAGGCAGGCCUUCUUGUUUCACACGUUGGGGUGGUUCCUUUAGUCUUCCCUUUAACCCCACAAUCACUAAAUAUAGUUUUUUUUAGGGGUCUCUUUAAAUGACCCAAAUUACAUUGUUAGGUUUGGUUUAAGUGCAUUAUUGUUGAUUUGUUUAUUGGAUUUAGGCUGACAUUUGUCUGCUAUAUUUUGAUUGAUGGACGAUGGUCUUCAAUCUUCAGCUACUAAAAUCUUUUGCUUUUGAUAAGCGACGCAAAAAUUAAUUAGAAAUAUAUUGUUUACAGGUAUAUUGAUGGAAGUUUAUUAUAUAU
rnacentral:lncRNA from 1 species